rnacentral:lncRNA from 1 species
AUGCACACUUUUCCUGCGUUUUCCUCCUCUGUCUUUUAUGCUUGGCUGCUAACAAGGUGGCCCACAUUACACAACUCUAGCGAGCCAGCGGACUCCGUCCCCCGGCCCGAGUCUCCGCCAGACUCACCCAUUAGAAAUAAUUUUCUGUUUGAAAUGGGUGUCAACAAUCUCCUCUCGAAGCGGGUAUCCACAGCCUGCCAAUGGUAUGAUUCUCUUUCCGUCUUUAUUUUCAUUGAAGUUACAUACGCACAGAUUUUUAAGUGCCAAAUUGUUCUGUUUUUUUUUUUUUCUUUUUUUGCAGAAAAACAGCGAUCUCCCCAGUUUCCCCUCCCUAGAGGCAACCACUUUCAGCUCUUGUGGCAGAAAAUAAUUCCAAGAAAACAUUGAAGCACCAGAGUUUCAGACCCCUUAUCUCAUCUAACUUUUGUGUAAGAGAUGAGUGCCAGUCUCCUGAAGCAACCCGAACAGUGUGUCCUCUUUUCCUGAAGAGUAUAUGAGACUGGGGUUACAUUUUUCCAGAAGCCUUUGAUAUAACUUAUAUGUGAAGCUAGGACUUUUCCUCACUGAGAGGUUUUAAAUUAGGAAUUCAAUUUUGAAAAAGGAUCUAAGGCUAUUUGAAUUUUUGUAUUGUCCUUGUUAAUUUUGGUAAGAUUUACUUUUAAUUUUUUUAUAAACUGUUGAAUUUAUAGGCACAAAAUCAUUAAUUGUCAUAUCAUCUUGGAGAACUGAAUCCUUUGUCAUUAUGGGAUGGCUGUCUUUAUCAGUGGUAAUGUUUCUCAUCUGAAGCCUCCUUUGAUAAAGCUCUUUUAGCUUUCCUUAGAUUCCUGUCUGCACAGUGUGUUGUUUUCCACCCUUUUUCUCUUUAUCUAUGUCUCUAGAUUAAACUGGCAAUUUUGCAGGUAAGGCAUAGUUGGGUCUUGCUUUUCAUCUGACCUGACAAAUGUCUAUCUUUCUAUUAGUGUUAUUUGCAUUUAAUAUGGUUAUUGAUGUGAUCGAGUUAAAAUUUACCAUUUAACCAGUUGUUUUCUAUUUGUUCCAUCUGUUCUCUUUCUUUUUGCCCUUUUUCUGUUUAAUUGGGUGUUUUUGAUGUUUCACUGUUGUUUCCACUGUUGAGUUAUCAUUUACGACUCUUGAUAACAUUUAGCAGUUGGCUUAGUCUGUAUUGUGCGUGUCUACUUUGAGAUAACAGCACCCUGUUUCACGUCUUGCAUGAGGACGUGAUAUCCCCGAUGCCUGCCUCCCAGUCUCCUUCUGCCAUUGCCACGGAUUCAUCCUCACAUACGCUUCUAAUAUCCGACGCUACCAUCUGUGCCUCACAUAGCUGUCUUCCUACUUGUUCCAUUCCCAGUGCUCUCAAUUUCCUGGUGUGGAUUCAAGUUUCUGUCUGCCACUGUGUUCCUUCUUCCUGAAGAACUCUCUUGAACACUCCUGAGAACCUGA